CAGCUAGUUGGCGGGGUAACGGCCCACCAAGGCGAUGAUCGGUAGCCGGCCUGAGAGGGCGCACGGCCACACUGGAACUGAAACACGGUCCAGACUCCUACGGGAGGCAGCAGUGGGGAAUUUUGCGCAAUGGGGGAAACCCUGACGCAGCAACGCCGCGUGGAGGAUGAAGUCCCUUGGGACGUAAACUCCUUUCGACCGGGACGAUAAUGACGGUACCGGUGGAAGAAGCCCCGGCUAACUUCGUGCCAGCAGCCGCGGUAAUACGAAGGGUGCAAGCGUUAUCCGGAUUCACUGGGUUUAAAGGGUGCGUAGGCGGGCAGGUAAGUCAGCGGUGAAAUCCCCGAGCUUAACUUGGGAACUGCCGUUGAUACUAUUUGUCUUGAAUGUCGUGGAGGUUAGCGGAAUAUGUCAUGUAGCGGUGAAAUGCUUAGAUAUGACAUAGAACACCCAUUGCGAAGGCAGCUAACUACGCGGAUAUUGACGCUGAGGCACGAAAGCGUGGGGAUCAAACAGGAUUAGAUACCCUGGUAGUCCACGCCCUAAACGAUGAUUACUCGACAUUGGCGAUACACUGUCAGUGUCUGAGCGAAAGCAUUAAGUA
rnacentral:rRNA from 1 species